CCGUAAGGCGACGUAUAGGGUCUGACGCCUGCCCGGUGCUGGAAGGUUAAAAGGAGGGGUGCGAGCUCUGAAUUGAAGCCCCAGUUAAACGGCGGCCGUAACUAUAACGGUCCUAAGGUAGCGAAAUUCCUUGUCGGGUAAGUUCCGACCUGCACGAAUGGCGUAACGACCUCCCCACUGUCUCCGGCAUGGGCUCAGCGAAAUUGAAUUCCCCGUGAAGAUGCGGGGUACCCGCAGUUAGACGGAAAGACCCUAUGAACCUUUACUGCAACUUCGCAGUGGCGCCAGAAAGGGACUGUGUAGGAUAGGUGGGAGGCUACGAAGCCGGGGCGCUAGCUCAGGUGGAGCCAACCUUGAAAUACCACCCUGUGCCUUUUUGGCGUCUAACCAAGCCUGGUUAACCCGGGCUGGGACCCUGCGUGGUGGGCAGUUUGACUGGGGCGGUCGCUCCUAAA
rnacentral:rRNA from 1 species